AAGUUUUUUUUUUUUCAUUCACACUUCUAGAAAAAAAAUCACAAAAUAAAAACAAAGUUUGAAAAAUCUAAAUUUAAUAUAUUUAUACUAAUAAAAGUAUGAGUUGUCUUACAUUUUUUUUUCUUCCAAACUAACCUUAUCAAAUUCUUUUUAUUUUUUAUUUUUUAUUUUUCCAGAAAUAUGCCUCAACCCAUCGUUUAUG
rnacentral:lncRNA from 1 species